UAAAUUUAUGUAAUUUGACAAUUAAUCUACCUCAUGUGCUUGCAGAUAUGUAUUCAUUUCCUACCACCGUAGUGGAAGAGAGAUUUUCCCUAUCUUUACAACUGAUAGCAUUUCCAACAGUAAGCUGUGAGAUUCUGCUUGAAAUCACCUCUCAAACAAAUAAAAAACAGACCUGGGAGACAUGCUACACUCAUUCUGCUGAGGAAAUAGGCAUCAUAGCUGGGAAACGGAUUCACAAGACCCAGGCUGUUCCCUACAUAUGUUUCCUCCUCCGACAUCAGUUCAUCAGUCAAUCAAGCCAUGUGAGAGUGGAGGCCUUGUAUUCCCUAUUAUUCUUGGGCACUCUACUCCAAGUAGGAAAAGGCCAGGAGGUCCUGUUAAAGGAUGCACUCAGAGCCCGGGCUCCCUAACAUAUGAGAGUGCUAACCAGCAGGUGUAGACUUUUCAGGAGUGAAGAAUGAGGCAGGCAUUCCAAACCUGGACCUUCAUCACCUUUUGUUUCAUCUCAAGACAAUUCUGAGGGACUGUUUUGGAGCGUGUCUGGAAGGUGAACCUUGAAGAAGAGUGUGGGCUUUGAUGUGACUCAGUUGAGAUCUUUCAUGGGGAGGCAGGAAUUCAAUGCCCAGAAUCUGGGCUGGUGUCUUUGAGGUCAGUAGGUUGCGUCUUUGUAUCCAAGUCCAUUGUUACUAGGUUGGAGGCUGGAGAUUCUAAAUGGCUUCCAGACCAUCUCUCUGAUUCUCUUUGGGAGAUGGGGUCUGAAAGACAAUGUCAGUAGUUUUGGGAAAUUCUAGAAAGUGUGCUUGGAAACGUGGGAAGAGCUCUUGCCUAGUGCCUAAAUGCUCCAUUUGCAGCUCUAGCCAAGUAGAUACUUGGUAGGUAUAGAGCCGGGUUUGCGUUUAUAUCAGCAAAACCUAUGUCAGAGUUGAAGAAGUAGUCAGGAAAAAGCGUCUUGGUCGCAGGCCGGGGAACAUCUUAAAAGCAAACUUCUAGCCUGCUGACUCUUGGCAAUGAGUGUUGGAUCCUGGCUAAAGUGCCUUGAAUGCAGCAUGAGGCCAAUCCAUGAAUCCAACUUCUCAUGGAGAAAUGUUAAUAUUUUUUCAGUUUGAAUCAAUCAGGGUGAAACUACCAUGCUAUUGGUUUGCUUACUUUUUAUUAUUUCAUGUAAAAUCUAAGACAAAAUACAUUAAAUGCUUAUUGACAUAUGUAUUUAUUCUUCACCAGGCUGAUAAUAUCUGCCUAAUUUUAAACUUUCUUCCAUUUUGUAGGUUUCAACUUAUUCUAUUGUAAGAUACUGUUAAAUCUAAUAGAGGCAUUGUCACUUUUACGUAUAAUUUUAUUUUAUUUCAUAUAUUUCCUAUUGGCUUUUUACAUUUAAAUUAUGGAGCACUUCAUCAUAUAAAAAACUUCAAUUAUAUUUAAACAGUAAGUCUUUGGAUUUUUUUGCCUUGUAAUUUCCAUAUUACAUAAUAAUGAGAUAAACAUUAAUGUUUUCAGGGUACUUUAAAUUUUAGAUAAUUACUCAUUGUAUUCAUGUGAAAUUUGUUUUUACUGCAUGUGUGGGUUGGAGGACUGUUUUCACUUCUGAUUCAUCUUUACUCUUAUCUCAUCAGAGCUCAUACCUCUUGUAGUUGGGGGAUUGCAGUUUAUAAUUCCAAUAAAUGGGGCAAAUUCAAUAAUAACAUAAUACAAAUGAGUUUGAAUGCAGGACAGGUCUUCAAAGCAUACACAACAUGGGCCUACAUAUGUACAACAAUAAUAAUUUAUAAGUUACUGUUUGGAUGGAAAGUAAAAGUACAGAAAAUUUGUUAAAGGAAAUUAAAAUGGAGAUCAUGUCUCAAUAAUCUCUGAGCAGACAAAAUUAGUUAGGUCUCAUAAGUGAUCUCAACCUCGCUUGAUUUGCAAAUACAAACAAAACUUAAAUUAUUUCUUGUAGCUGCAUAUUGAAAAAAGAGAAAUGAAGCUCAACCAGUCAGAAGUAGCCAACAACCUUAUAUAAAUAGAAACUGUCCAACAAGGUAAACAGACAAACAAAAAACAAUAAAAAAAGUUGUGCUACCACCAAAUGAUUUCUUUGUUUCUACAUUUUUCAAAUAAAUACUUGCUUCUUACACUGUCAAUGAAGCACUCAAUAUCUUUCCGUCUGAUAUUUUAUAAUUUAUCAAUUGCUCUUACUCAAAUAAACACUUUGCAAUUUC
ensembl:lncRNA LINC03104 long intergenic non-protein coding RNA 3104